rnacentral:rRNA from 1 species
GACGAACGCUGGCGGCGUGCCUAAUACAUGCAAGUCGAACGCAGUGGGGACUGGUGAGUAACACGUGGGUAACCUCCCAUCAGAGGGGAUAACACUUGGAAACAGGUGCUAAACCGAUAUUGAUGGAUGGACCCGCGGUGCAUUAGCUGGUUGGUGAGGUAACGGCUCACCAAGGCCACGAUGCAUAGCCGACCUGAGAGGGUGAUCGGCCACACUGGGACAGAGACACGGCCCAGAUUCCUACGGGAGGCAGAAGUAGGGAAUCUUCGGCAAUGGAAGAAAGUCUGACCGAGCAACGCCGCGGUAAUUC